GAUCAUGGCUCGGGACGAACGCUGGCGUCGCGCCUAACACAUGCAAGUCGAACGGAGAUUACAGGCGGAAGUUUUCGGAUGGAAGCUUGUAAACUUAGUGGCGGACGGGUGAGUAACACGUGAGCAACCUGCCUAUCAGAGGGGGAUAACGAUUGGAAACGAUCGCUAAUACCGCAUGACAUAGCGGAACCGCAUGGUUCUGUUAUCAAAGAUUUUAUCGCUGAUAGAUGGGCUCGCGUCCG
rnacentral:rRNA from 1 species